rnacentral:rRNA from 1 species
GAUGAACGCUGGCGGCGUGCCUAACACAUGCAAGUCGAGCGAUCUUCUUCGGGAGAGAGCGGCGGACGGGUGAGUAACGCGUGGGUAACCUGCCUCAUACACAUGGAUAACAUACCGAGAGGUAUGCUAAUACAAGAUGAUAUAAGAGAUUCGCAUGGAUUUCUUAUCAAAGCUCCGGCGGUACGGGAUGGACCCGCGUCUGAUUAGCUAGUUGGUAAGGUAACGGCUUACCAAGGCGACGAUCAGUAGCCGACCUGAGAGGGUGAUCGGCCACAUUGGAACUGAGACACGGACCAAACUCCGACGGGAGGCAGCAGUGGGGAAUAUUGCGCAAUGGGCGAAAGCCUGAUGCAGCAACGCCGCGUGAGCGAUGAAGGCCGUAGGGUCGUAAAGCUCUGUCCUCAAGGAAGAUAAUGACGGUACUUGAGGAGGAAGCCCCGGCUAACUACGUGCCAGCAGCCGCCGUAACAC